rnacentral:lncRNA from 1 species
AUAAUGAUCUCUACGCUAGAGAUCAUGAGAAGAAUACUUUUUUCUUUCUUCCUAAAACCCAUGCACCAAAUUUCUAUGCUAGAGAUAUAAAAAUACAUGUCCAACUCUUGGAUAAAGUGAAGAGAAAAGUCCAUAUCCAAACUAGGACAAAAGAUGAGAGAGAAGGCCCUAACAACUAACCUUUGGUUGUUGAUAAGAA